AGAAAAAAUAUGGAGGCCCCUAACUCAGAACUGGUUACAGAAAGAGAAAGGUGGAAGCCGAAGGAGGGGAACCCUCUAAACCAGUUGAAAUUAUGAAACUUCUCACUGGACUGUGAUUUGCCCUCCAUGGAACAUUUGGGAAUGCCAGGAGAUAUUUUUAGGUACCAUAAAUCAGAGUUGCUACUGGCAUCUAAUCUAAAAGUGGAGCCUAGCUGUGCCGCUCCACAGCCUACAAAAUAGAAGACAGCCCCCUAGACAAAGAGUUGUCUGGCCCAGAAUGUUCACCGCGCUCAGGCUGAGAAACCCCACUGCACCGCUGUGUGAACCGUGAAAGGAGAGGAGCAGCUGCAGGGAUCUAUUUCUAACUUUCGCCCCACACGCAGGGCAGUGGGGCAAAGAGCAGCUGAAGGGCACGAGCUAGGAGAGACGAUUUAAUGUGGUCAUGCAGUGUUAAAUUUAAGGAAACUAAAACUCCUGGAGUGGAAUGGUCAUCUGUCUAACGUUGCAACACUAGUCAACUAGCUAGGACUCAACCAGAAAAUGAGAACUCCUCUCAAGUGUUCAACUUGACCCCAACAGCCCGGUUUUUCUGCUCAAGAGUGAGCACUUCAAGAAGCCGUCAGGAGCGGGCCUUCCUGCUGAGCGUCCUGGCUCUCUGAGAAUCCAGGGGAGUUUUGCCACCUUGCUGACUCUGCAUCCCCUUAGUCUGCAGUGGGCAUCAGCAAAGCAUGCUUUGCCUCAGCUGGCUGGGAACAAUAGAUGAACAAGACCUAAACGAGCUGGGAACUAGCUGCAUACUACAUCCUCAAAUAAUUCAGACUGUGCGAUGCUCAGGAGGAAAUCAUGCACAGCGUGCUGGCUAGCCUUGCUCUCCUUUCCUUCCUGUAUGCUCAUCCUUCCAAGUGUCCCACUUAAUGUUAACAAAAUACUAGAGAUUCAUCCACGCAGAAAGCAUAGACCAGAGCCUUCUACCUGGGAAUCUUAAUUCUGAAGGAAGGAAUAACACAUCAGUUUACCUACAAAGCGUUUGUGGAACACUCUGUCUUGUGCCCCAUCUUGGAUUUUGCUAGAUUUGAGCUUCCCUAGGAGCUUUUUUCGUUUCUUUCUCUCAUCUUAGCUCUUUUCUUACAAGAAGAAUGUAAUCUGCCAGACAUGGGCUUAAGUGACGUGUGACUGAAGACUGGCCAUGCACGGGGGAUAGAUUUUAACAUCCACCUGCUUGUUAAUGGACUUGGUGAAAAGACUAGGCAAGAUAAUAUUCAUUUUUAGUAGACAAGACAAAGAUCAGAUUGUGGAGAGGUGAUGAGAGAGUCCUCUAUAAGCAGAAUUGGAGACUCUUAAGUAUCAGAUAUCUUGGGCCCGGCAGUCUCCACAAAUCCACGAGUAUUUGCGCCUCUCUCCCCAUCACUGCCUCUAAUAGGUUAGAUAACAAAGGCCAGAGUCACAUCUCAGAAGGUGAUCACGGCAAGAAAGCACAGCUGUUACCUGACUCCUAUUAAGCCAUCGUUGGGGUUUAGCCCGAGGCACGUGCAGAAGGACAUGAAGGAAUUAUCAGAGAGCAAGCCCUGGUGGAAAUGAAAUACUGAGAAGAUGUGAUAUGGGGCAUCAGCCUCUUGCCAUAGGCUGAUUCAUUAACUCUCUACUCUCCUCUGAGCGGUAAUUCUCGUGCUCAUUUUACAAGUGGGCAAGAAGCCAUGGUGUGUCCAGCAUGCUCUGGCAACUCACCUCCUGGUCGCUGAUCCCUCCACACUCUCUGUCUUCAGGAGUGAUCCAGACACUUGUGCAAAUUUGCACAGCUUCCUGGCCUGCCUGCCACUUCCUGCAGUCUACAAUUCUCUCUCUCUGCAAGUCUCAGCAGAAAUGCAAGAGGAGAGAUCCCUGGGCACAGAGGGAGAAGCAGGCCCAGGCAAAUGAAGUGCCCAGGAGAGCCCAGGAGGGGGCCGGAGGGCUUGAGAAGAAGGCAGGACUGGAAACAAAAACAAAAUUAGCCCUUCGCUCAUUACCCUGACUCAGCUGCAUUCAUGUGUGGUGGAGGAAAUUGGGGCUUUGGGCAGGAGAAUGUGCUUUAAGAUCCCAAGUGGAAGAGAACUCGGCCCUCAGCCUCAAACCGCCAUGAAUCCCUUCUGCUGCAGGCCAAGAGCUGGAGUGAGGGACCUGAGGCCCCACUGUGCCCCGUGCUCCGGGAGUCUCAGCCUGAAAGGAAACACUCCUCUGUUAUCUGUGGUUUUCAGUUCUUUCUCCCGUUUGGAAGUGGAGGGAAAAAUCAUAAUAAUCUUUUGUGGGAUUGGGAGGGCCCGUGGGCUGUUGGGGCCAGAGUAAGCAAAAUGAAAGGACGUUGCAGCAAAUGGUUCUGCCUUGCUAAGCAAAAGACUCAGAAAGGGGAACAGAGGAACCCUGAAGGUGAAAGCUAAGUCGGCAGUCCGAAAACUUGUCCAAUAGAUCAUUUCUGGGCAGGCACCAUAACGAAGCACAGAGAACUUUCUUCUUAUUAUUAUUUUGUUGCCUUUUCUUAACCUUUUUGAUUUUCUUAAUAAUGAAAGUAGAAAAUUAUAUACUGUACUUGAAUUAACAAGGUAUGAUUGAUGUAUAAAGUGAAUAAUUUUUUAGUUUUUUAUUUAAAGAGGAGAAAAAGAAAAAAGCAAAACAAAGAGUAGAGAUAAUAUAUAAUUUCAAAAAAAAACAGUAAGAAAUCACUAGUUGGUAAAUUACAUAUUAUCCUCUUAGAAAUAGUUGUUCAACUUAGAACAUUAAAUCUUACAAAGUGUACAAUCAGAUAGUGAGACUGCAAACAGAGUGAAUAAUUUUUAAAACUCACUACUAUAAAAGACACAUUGCUGUUAAUCCCCCUCAAAAUACUUUCCUUCACGAAGCACAAAUUCAUCCCAUUAUUCUUGCUUUCUGAAGCAGUCCUGGAAGUCCUUCUUUGGAAGUGUCUUUCUGAAUAUGAUCAAAAGUAAUUUGAAUGCUUCUGCCCAAUGGAAAUCCCUGCCUGCAAAAAAUGUGGUGAAUCUCAUCCCCCUUAUUCACUGGAUUUGUUGUGUGCAACUUCUUCCUCAAAGUAAAAGUGACCAUGAAAAGUAAAUGUGUGGAAUCAGUUUCAGACAUUGAAAUGCCGGUUACAAUGGGAUUAAAGACUCAAGAAAGAGGACUCCCAGAAGUGCUUCAGAAUGUGGCAAGAGCAAUGGGAUUAUGUGUAACUGAAUCAAGACUGCAAUAUUUUGAGGGGGAUUAAUGGCGAUAGGUCUUUAAUAAAUUUUAAAAUUUUAAACAUUCACAAGAUUUCAUGUUACAUUCAUGCUUUACAUAAAGAAAUAAAAAUUAGUUCCCCGAUUCUACCUUUGGAGGAAGCCAAGUUGAAUAAUGACGUGCAGCCCUCAGCACGUCCUGUUACCUAAAACUUUAGGACUUGGCCCUGUUUUAGGAGGGCCAAGAAUACAGGUGCUGAGAAAUGCCUUUGGAUAGGAGAAAAGCUCUCCACGUAGCUGAGAUGGCUGGGCCAGUGACUGUGGAAAUACUGGCAAGGUAGCAGACCCUUAAAGACUGACGAGACCAGACAUUCUGAAGAGAGGGGCGAACGAGGUUCAUGGCGUUCCAAGAUGCUUGUAUUUGAAUUUUCUUUCUCAUAGAAGCGCAAAUGAACAGGUCCUCACAGACCAGGGAUCAAGGUUUACUUGCGUAUUCCCAUCAAUAGUCAUCCAGCCUUACUUUCUGCUUCUGAGUCCAGAAACCACGUUUGGAACUCGAUCAUGAAAAGCCUGUCUCACCGCCUCACAACAACCCCACUUUACUGUCUCACAAUGUACUUCCUAACAGGUUCUCUUUAACAUCCUUUUCAUAUUUUAUAUCAUGACAUUUCUACAUAGUGGUUCUCUUUUCUGUCUGCACAAACUGAAGCAACCUAAUGACAAGGACUGAGUUUUAUUUAUUUUUGCCGAUAGAACGGGUUACUAACUAAUUCAAGAAAAUAAUAAACUUCUACCAGACCUUUCUAUUGAAGACAGAAAGUCGGACCUGGAACCUCUUCGUGGGCUUCACAUUUUUCUCUGGAUAUACUAAAUCCUACAGGUGCUUUUCCUGUGACCCCUCUACCAGGUGGGGAAGAGAUUCCUGUUUUCCCCUCAAUGUGAAUCUAUUUGGCCCAUGUAAUAAUGAUGAAAUACAGUGAGUGUAAAGGGUACAUUUCCAACUGAAUUUCUAUGCUAAGGUCACCUUCUAUUGAAAUAAUUUGAAAGAAAAACAAAGCAUCCCAAGUGUAGUCCCUCACCUCCAUGGAAAACUCAGGAAAGUGUCGGGUCCACACUAACAUACAAAACACAAGACAGGCUGCAUGUAUGUCUUCUGUGAAUUAUCUUUAAUUCUACAAAACUACAUCACGGUAGGGUAAAAUCUACAAUGCUUUGCAGAAAAAGAAUGUCCUUUGUAGGAAACAAGAGUGUUAUGCUCAGGAAACCCUCUCUGAUGUAGAAGCAUUUCUCAAUAAAAUAGUGAGGCUUAAAAAAUAAAUAUUACAUUUUCAGCUUGAAAAUUUUUCUCACUGAUACACUUUAGAGAACUGAGAAAAGUGAAGAAAAAAACUUAAAAAUUAGAAAAUACAUAUUGACUGGAUUUAGCAUUAAUUCUGCUAAUCAUAGUUUUAUCUCUAAUAAAUAUGGUUACAAAACAAGCCAAUGUUAUUUUGGGGGUUGAAAAUAUACUUUAUAGCCAAAGGUAGCAGCACACGCCUGGAGUCCUCACACUGGGGAGUGUGAGGCAGAGGACUGUUGCAAGUUCGAGGCCGUCUGCGCUACAGAGUGAGUGCAAAGCCAGCCCAAAACACAAAGGAGGCCCUGUAUCCAAAAAACAACAAAAAAACAGAAACUAUAUUUUAUACAGAUGCAAAUUUUUAUAAAAGGAAUUAUCAGUGGAAAUUACAGACAUUUUAAUAAAGAUUGGGCAGGCAAAUAAAAACAUCCUAAAUGAAAAGUAUUAUAUAAGUUUUACAUAAAGCUAAUCAUAGAGAAAUUAUUCAAAGGCUAUCUUUG